UACGGAGGGGGCUAGCGUUGUUCGGAAUUACUGGGCGUAAAGCGUACGUAGGCGGCUUUGUAAGUUAGAGGUGAAGGCCCGGGGCUCAACUCCGGAAUUGCCUUUAAGACUGCAUCGCUUGAAUCAUGGAGAGGUGAGUGGAAUUCCGAGUGUAGAGGUGAAAUUCGUAGAUAUUCGGAAGAACACCAGUGGCGAAGGCGACUCACUGGACAUGUAUUGACGCUGAGGUACGAAAGCGUGGGGAGCAAACAGG
rnacentral:rRNA from 1 species